GACGAACGCUGGCGGCGUGCUUAACACAUGCAAGUCGAACGGAAAGGCCCUGCGUUUGUGGGGUGCUCGAGUGGCGAACGGGUGAGUAACACGUGAGUAACCUGCCCUUGACUUUGGGAUAACUCCAGGAAACUGGGGCUCAUACCGGGUAUGAUCUUCUGCUGCAUGGUGGGGGUUGGAAAGUUUCGGCGGUUGGGGCUGGUCUCGCGGCUUAUCAGCUUGUUGGUGUGGUAGUGGCUUACCAAGGCUUUGACGGGUAGCCGGCCUGAGAGGGUGACCGGCCACCAUGGGACUGAGAUACGGACCAGACUGCUACGGGAGGCAGCAGUGGGGAAUAUUGCACAACAGGCGGAAGCGUGAUGUAGCAACGCCGCGUGCGGAAUGACGGGCUUCGGGUUGUAAACCGCUUUCGCAUGUGACGAAGCGUGAGUGACGGUAAUGGGUAAAGAAGCCCCGGCUAACUACGUG
rnacentral:rRNA from 1 species